rnacentral:lncRNA from 1 species
CUCGGAAGGAGGCAGCGAAGCGGCCUGGCGGCAGGCUGCUUUCAUUACUUUGAUGGGAUACAUGUGCUUGGCUUUAUCUCCGGCCCUUUCUCCGUAAUUCAGCGCUUGAACGUCUCAGCUGUCGGCCGAUCUGCAGACAAUUGCUUGGGGUAAUACUAUCCGGAAAAAGCUGAUAAAACGCAGAUGUGCGGAGGCCUCUGAAAUUUGCGGUUUGCUAAGUGGUUCGAGCGAUGCUUGCCUGCGGCCGGGGCGCUUCCCGGAGAGGCUGGGAACUGAGAGGGUCAUCGAGGACUGAACAGAGAACUGAGAUGGUUCAGAACGUGGAAGCUUUCUGCUCCACCUUACCCUCUUCUGCCUCUACCCCUCCUCCUCUCUGGACCUGCUUCCUGUCUCUGAAGGUCACCUGCCUCCAAAACCACAGCCUUCACUCCCGAACACAGAUCCCAGCUGAGAUACUAAAAAAAUCUCUCCUCAGACCCAGAAACAGGUGGAAGGAAGUUGGACCUCAGGACUGUACAAUCAAUGCCCCCACCCCAAAGGGGGUCCUUAAUCCCAGCGCUUUGCCUCCUAACACCCAUUUCCUUCCCCAGGAGACUCAUGGCCUCUACCUUGCUUAUCUCCCAGAGUUUCCUGGCUGGCAUGAUGUUCAGAUGACAGGGGACCAAAAGCCUUUGCAUACUGCCAGCACUGUGGAAGCAGCCUCUGGGGUCCUCACCUGCUGUAUUCUGAGCCAUCAGGAGAAGCUGGGUCAGUAGUGAGCUGGGUUGAGACAGAGACAACUGGGGAUCAUUAAGGAGCAAGAACAUGUCUGCUUCUUUUAUGACCUUCAAUAUUAGUCACCAGGAAGCACACAGACUUGUAUCACUUACUCGUCUUGAAUUAAUUAAGGAGACUCGUAUGGGGACAAUUAGAGACCUUUAUGUUGAUGACAUCUCAUCUCUUGGUGAUGGAAUUUGCUUCUGCAUCCUCUGGCUUCCCCUUGUGUCCUCACAGAUCCUGGUGGGUUCUGUUUCUCCCAAGAACCUCAGCUUUAGGAUAGCACAGGGUUGGUGAGCCCACUGACUAUGGGAGAUGGCUUCAAGCAUUAAAGGAGGGUUGGGACAAUGUGCUCCUGUUUGCAAGGUAUUUGCAUAUACCUUGUCUUAUUUUUCUUCCUUGUUUUCUUCUCAAUUUCCUCCUCUGUUCUGCCUAUUCUUUGUUUUGUAGACCCAUUGGCACCAAGAAUACUAAUUUUCCCAACAUUAAAAGCAAACAUUCAUGGGUGGGGAGCGGCAUGUUAAAACUUCUGCCCUCAGGCUCACAUCAUAACUUUCGAAGCAUGCCACCCCAACGUCCACAUGAAGCCCCCAGUGUCUCCAUGAUCCUGCUGCUAAUCAGGAUGGGGACCCAGCACUCCGCCACGGUCCCACCCACUCUCCAUAAUCACACACAAGUAUUCGAAAACCCAGCUGAGCAAUUAUGAAUAAUUAAAUCAAUUAGAGACAGUCUAGAAGGAGGGAUUAUGGUCGUUCGGGUGUGGGCCUCUGUAAUAUUUUAACAGUAAAUGCAAGAGCCCCAGAGAGGCCUGGCAGGGAGACGGGAACAAAAGCAUGUCCAAAUGCCAACCCAUGUUGCUGGGUGACCCUCCCUGGCUGUAUUGCCGCCUGCCCAGGGAAGACAAUGCUAAUGAAAUGCCAAUAAAAUAUUUUGAGGGAAAGUAUGAAAGCUUCA